rnacentral:lncRNA from 1 species
GGCAUUAGAAAUGUGAACACCGAACUUGAAGGGCCAUCUAUGUGUGAAUGCACAAAACCAAACAGCUCUCUUGUGUGAAUAGAUUAAUUCGGUUGGUGUGAAAGCAUUCAAGCAGCUUGGGAAAGCUAACUAGCCAACUUGGAGAGUUUAAAUGUGCAGCUACUCUUUGGCUGAAAAGAUGCUUGGAUAAGCCAAACAAUCAGCACACCAUGCAUUGAAGCCGUCCC